GAUCAUUACAGAGUUUUCCAACUCCCAACCCAUGUGAAUCUACCAUUGUUGCCUCGGCGGAACCUACCCAGUAGCGAGUUACCCUGUAACGACCUACCCGGUAGCGAACUCCGCCGGUGGACCUCCAAACUCUUGUUUACUACAGUGAAUCUGAGCGUCUUAUUUUAAUAAGUCAAAACUUUCAACAACGGAUCUCUUGGUUCUGGCAUCGAUGAAGAACGCAGCGAAAUGCGAUACGUAAUGUGAAUUGCAGAAUUCAGUGAAUCAUCGAAUCUUUGAACGCACAUUGCGCCCAUUAGUAUUCUAGUGGGCAUGCCUGUUCGAGCGUCAUUUCAACCCUUAAGCCUAGCUUAGUGUUGGGAAUCUACGGUAAAACGUAGUUCCUCAAAAACAACGGCGGAUCUGCUGUGUCCUCUGAGCGUAGUAAUUCUUUAUCUCGCUUUUGUCAGGAGCAGCGGCCCUUGCCGCUAAACCACCCAAUUUUUUUAAUGGUUGACCUCGGAUCAGGUAGGAAUACCCGCUGAACUUAAGCAUAUCAAUAAGCGGAGGAAAAGAAACCAACAGGGAUUGCCCUAGUAACGGCGAGUGAAGCGGCAACAGCUCAAAUUUGAAAUCUGGCCCUCGGGUCCGAAUUGUAAUUUGUAGAGGAUGCUUUUGGUGCGGUGCCUUCCGAGUUCCCUGGAACGGGACGCCUUAGAGGGUGAGAGCCCCGUACGGUUGGACACCAAGCCUUUGUAAAGCUCCUUCGACGAGUCGAGUAGUUUGGGAAUGCUGCUCUAAAUGGGAGGUAAAUUUCUUCUAAAGCUAAAUACCGGCCAGAGACCGAUAGCGCACAAGUAGAGUGAUCGAAAGAUGAAAAGUACUUUGAAAAGAGGGUUAAAUAGCACGUGAAAUUGUUGAAAGGGAAGCGUUUAUGACCAGACUUUUUCCAGGCGGAUCAUCCGGUGUUCUCACCGGUGCACUUCGUCUGGUUGAGGCCAGCAUCGGUUUCUGUAGGGGGAUAAAAUCGGUGGGAAUGUGGCUCCCCCGGGAGUGUUAUAGCCCAUCGAAUAAUACCCUUACGGGGACCGAGGUUCGCGCA
rnacentral:rRNA from 1 species